rnacentral:rRNA from 1 species
ACAGAGGUCCCAAGCGUUGUUCGGAUUCACUGGGCGUAAAGGGUGCGUAGGUGGUGAGGUAAGUCGGAUGUGAAAUCUCCAGGCUCAACCUGGAAACUGCAUUGGAAACUGCCUUGCUAGAGGAUUUGAGGGGGGAUUGGAAUACUUGGUGUAGCAGUGAAAUGCGUAGAUAUCAAGUGGAACACCAGUGGCGAAGGCGAAUCCCUGGAAAAUACCUGACACUGAGGCACGAAAGCUAGGGGAGCAAACAGGAUUAGAUACCCUGGUAGUCCUAGCCCUAAACGGUGCUUGCUUGCUGUAAGAGGAAUCGACCCCUCUUGUGGCGGAGCUAACGCGUUAAGCAAGCCGCCUGGGAAGUACGGUCGCAAGAUUA